rnacentral:rRNA from 1 species
GAUGAACGCUGGCGGCGUGCCUAAUACAUGCAAGUCGAGCGAACGGACGAGAAGAUUGCUUCUCUGAUGUUAGCGGCGGACGGGUGAGUAACACGUGGAUACCCUACCUAUAAGACUGGGAUAACUUCGGGAAACCGGAGCUAAUACCGGAUGAUAUUUUGAACCGCAUGGUUCAAAAGUGAAAGACGGUCUUGCUGUCACUUAUAGAUGGAUCCGCGCUGCAUUAGCUAGUUGGUAAGGUAACGGCUUACCAAGGCAACGAUGCAUAGCCGACCUGAGAGGGUGAUCGGCCACACUGGAACGGAGACACGGUCCAGACUCCUACGGGAGGCAGCAGUAGGGAAUCUUCCGCAAUGGGCGAAAGCCUGACGGAGCAACGCCGCGUGAGUGAUGAAGGUCUUCGGAUCGUAAAACUCUGUUAUUAGGGAAGAACAUAUGUGUAAGUAACUGUGCACAUCUUGACGGUACCUAAUCAGAAAGCCACGGCUAACUACGUG